UACAGAGGUCUCAAGCGUUGUUCGGAUUCAUUGGGCGUAAAGGGUCCGUAGGCGGUUUUGUAAGUCAGUGGUGAAAGCCCAUCGCUCAACGGUGGAACGGCCAUUGAUACUGCAAGACUUGAAUUACUAGGAAGUAACUAGAAUAUGUAGUGUAGCGGUGAAAUGCUUAGAGAUUACAUGGAAUACCAAUUGCGAAGGCAGGUUACUACUAGUGGAUUGACGCUGAUGGACGAAAGCGUGGGGAGCGAACAGG
rnacentral:rRNA from 1 species